GAUCCUCACUGAAGGCCUACUAUGCAC
rnacentral:piRNA from 1 species